rnacentral:rRNA from 1 species
UACGUAGGGGGCAAGCGUUGUCCGGAUUUAUUGGGCGUAAAGAGCUCGUAGGUGGUUCGGUAAGUCGGAUGUGAAAUCUCCAGGCUCAACCUGGAGGGGUCAUUCGAUACUGCCGUGACUAGAGUUCGGUAGGGGAGUGUGGAAUUCCUGGUGGAGCGGUGAAAUGCGCAGAUAUCAGGAGGAACACCCGUAGCGAAGGCGGCACUCUGGGCCUGCACUGACACUGAGGGACGAAAGCUAGGGGAGCGAAAGGG